ACACCUCUAAAAAAGCCAGCCACAAACUGGAGCAAAAUAUCUGAAACACACAUAGCAGGAAAAGGUGUUAUAUCUAGAAUAUAUAAAUAACUCCUUACAACCAUAUAAAAAUAAUUUAAAAGUCACUAAAAAAUGGGCAAAAUUUUUGUACCAACAUUUCACCAAAGAAUAGAUACAAAUAGUAAGCACAUAAGAUGCCUAACAUUUUUAGUCACUGUGGUUGACAAACCUUCAGAAUGUCUAAAAUUAAAUGACAAUGCCAAGUGCUGGUGAGGAUGUGAAGCAACUGACAUUCUCAUCGAUAGCUGGUAGGAAUGUAAAAUGGUACAAACACUUUGGAAAACAAUUUUGCAGCUUCUUAGAAAGUUACAAUAUACCGUAAGAUCUGGCAAUCCGACCAGGCAGUUUCUCAAAAGAAAUGAUCCGUACCCAAAUUUUUUUUAGCAGUUUUAUGUAUAAUAGCCAAAGGCUGAAAUAACCUGAAUGUUCAUAAACUGGUGAAUGGGGCCGGGUGCGAUGGCUCACGCCUAUAAUCCCAGCACUUUGGCAGUCUGAGGCGGGCGGAUCACCUGAGGUCAGGAGUUUUAGACCAGCCUGGCCAACAUGGCAAAGCCCCAUCUCUACUAAAAGUAUGAAAAAAUUAGCUGGGCAUGGUGGUAUGUGUCUGUAAUCCCAGCUGCUUGGGAGGCUGAGGCAUGAAAAUCACUUGAACCCGGGAGGUAGAGGUUGCAAUUAGCCGAGAUGGUACCACUGCACUCCAGCCUGAGCGACAGAGCAAGACUCCAUCACAAUACAAUACAGUACAAUACAGUACAAUACAUCACAAUAAAUACAACACAACACAAUAAACAGGUGAAUGGAUAAACAAAUACUGUCAUACAAGGGAAUACUACUGAGCAAUAAAAACGAAUUAAUUACCAAUGCAUUGCAAUAAUAAGAACAAAUCUCAGACAGGCACGGUGGCUCAAGCCUGUAAUUGCAACACUUUGGGAGGCAAAGGCAGGAGGGCUACUUGAGCUCAGGAGUUCAGGACCAGUCUGGGCAUUAGUGACACCUUGGCUCUACUAAAAACUUAAAAAUCAGCCGGGUGUGGUGGCGAGCACCUGUAGUCCCAGGUAUUUAGGAGGCUGAGGCAGAAGGACUGCUUGAGCCCAGGUGAUAAGGCUGCCGUGAGCCAUUAUCGUGCCACUGAACUCCAGCCUGGGCAACAGCAGAAGACACUGUUCCCCUCCACCAACCCUCCCCCACAAAAAAACAAACCUCAAAAUCAUUAUGCUGAGCAAAUUAGACAAGAGUAUAUCCUGUAUGAUGACUCUACUUAUAUAAAAUUCUGGAAAAAGCAAACUAACACAUAGAGACAGAAAGCAAAUGAAUGGCUGCCUGAGGACAGAGGUGGAGGGACAUAUUGCAGAGGGUUAGAAGAAACUCGAGAUGAUAAAGUGUUUGGUAUCUGGACUAUGGCAGUGGUUUCAAGAUUGCCUACAUAUGUUAAAAUUAUAAAAUUGUACAUGUCAAAUAUGUGCAGUUUACUGGAAGUAGCCUUAAUAAACUAAAAAAAAAAAAAAAAGGUUUUAAACAUUU
rnacentral:lncRNA from 10 species